UUAUAUGCUUGUCUCAAAGACUAAGCCAUGCAUGUCUAAGUACACACUCUAGCACAGUGAAACUGCGAAUGGCUCAUUAGAACAGUUGUAAUUCACCAGGCGAUACCAGUUACUUGGAUAACUGUGGCAAUUCUAGAGCUAAUACAUGCACUAUGUCCUGACGCGCGGUGACCCUCGCGGGACGCCAAGCGAAGGGACGCAUUUAUCAGACUGAACUAAGCGCGGUGCAAAUCGCGUCCACUUCGGUGACUCUGGAUAACUUUGCCGAUCGAACGGUCCUCGUGGCCGUCGACGCGCCUGUCAAGCGUCUGCCCUAUCAACUUUCGAUGGUAGAUUAAAUGCCUACCAUGGUUGUAACGGGUGACGGGGAAUCAGGGUUCGAUUCCGGAGAGGGAGCCUGAGAAAUAGCUACCACAUCCAAGGAAGGCAGCAGGCGCGUAAAUUACCCAAUCCCGACACGGGGAGGUAGUGACGAAAAAUAUCAGUGCGGGCUUCGGUCGAGGUCUCGUCACUGGAAUGGACGUGCCAUAAAACAGCACGUGAGGAUCCAUUGAAGGGCAAGUCUGGUGCCAGCAGCCGCGGUAAUUCCAGCUUCAAUAGCCUAUAUUAAAGUUGCUGUGGUUAAAAAGCUCGUAGUUGGAUUUAGAGUUUCCCAGAGACCGUCCAUUGGUUCGUCCGCCUAAAGGGGUUCCCUGGUGGUGGGCUAAAUGCCGCGGGCAACGUCGCGGGACUCUAGUCCCUGACCUCGGGUCCUCGCCUCUUAGGACGCGAUGGACCGCGUGGGCAGGGAAGUUUACUUUGAAAAAAUUAGAGUGAUCAAAGCAGGUCUAACCAAAGCCUGAAUAGCUGUUCAUGGAAUAAUGAAACAGGGCCCCAGGUCCAGAAACUGUAGAUACCGCAGGACCGAAUGGGUGCAAUGGUUAAUAGGAGCGGAACGGGGGCAUUCGUAUUGCGUGGGGAGAGGUGAAAUUCUUGGAUCCUCGCAAGACGAUCAGCGGCGAAAGCGAUUGCCAAGUACGUUUCCGUUAACCAAGAACGAAAGUCGGAGGUUCGAAGACGAUUAGAUACCGUCGUAGUUUCGACCGUAAACUAUGCCAGUCUGCAGCCCGUCCGAGUCGGUCACGAUAUACUGUGAAAGAGACCCGGCGGGAGGCAUGUGGGAAACCAGAAAAGCCGGUUCCAGGGGAAGUAUGGUUGCAAAGCUGAAACUUAAAGGAAUUGACGGAAGGGCACCACAAGGAGUGGGACCUGCGGCUCAAUUUGACUCAACACGGGAAAACUCACUCGGUCCGGACACUGAGAGGAUUGACAGAUUAAAGCUCUUUCUUGAUUCAGUGGGUGGUGGUGCAUGGCCGUUCUUAGUUCGUGGAGCGAUCUGUCUGGUUAAUUCCGAUAACGAACGAGACUCUAGCCUACUAAAUAAGUUCGCCGACAGCUAGUAUGUCCAAGCGUACGCCCGUGAGGUACCCCUGGUCGCAAGGAGACCUUCCCUUAGCGGGGCGGGCUCGGAGGGGCCAGGCUCGCGAGGCGAAACUUCUUAGAGGGACUGGUGGCAAUGUAAGCCACAGGAAGUAGAGCAAUAACAGGUCUGUGAUGCCCUUAGAUGUCCGAGGCCGCACGCGCGUCACAAUGGAAGAGUCAACGUGGACACCCCCGUGCUCCGAGAGGAGUUGCGAAAACCCAUGAAACUCUUUCUUAGUUGGGAUUGUGGAUUGUAACGGUCCACAUGAACGUGGAAUUCCUCGUAAUCGUCAGUCAUCAACUGGCGCUGAAUAAGUCCCUGGCCUUUGUACACACCGCCCGUCGCUACUUCCGACGAAUGGCCUAGUGAGGCUUUCGGACCGGAAAGCAGGGUCGACUGUCUGUCUCCCUGUAAGUACGAGAAGUUGGCCAAACUUGAUCGUUUGAAGGAAGUAAAAGUCGUAACAAGGUUUCC
rnacentral:rRNA from 1 species